CUCGCAUUCCCCUAUCGCAAACCUUCCAAGCUAGAGUAUAUGACACAUAAGUUCAAAAGAAAUGAUAAAAAUCUGAUAGCAGCUUUCAAAGACAGCUUAGAUUUGAACCAGGUCUCUUUAUCUGUCACUUGUGACAAUACAGAAGUUGAAAUUUGUUCCUCGGAUAACAUUACACCUUGCAAGAGAAAUUUGUUCGAAUCUGAUGUCGAGCAAUCUGUUUCAGUGGACUUGAUCUCUCCGCAAAUGUCAAGCAACAAAAAGGAAAAACAUAUCAAAAUUGAAAAAGAUAAUUACUAGAUUCUACGGAGAGUAGAAGCUACAUUUUGAAGGAAAAAACCUGUCUGAUUUAUGAUGUAUGAAACUUAUAUUUAGUAUUCUUGUAUGAAUACAUAUUUAGUAAGCUUUUGUAAUCAGUGCAGGUUAUUUUGGUGGUUUUGGGUUGAUAAACCUAAAUAUUUGAUAUGAUUAUAUUAUGCUGGAUAUUUGGUUUAUCAAUAUAUUGAUAGUUAUUAUUUUCA